rnacentral:lncRNA from 1 species
AAGAAUAUCCCAACAACAUCAUGUCUCUAUCUUCACUUUAACUUGCUUGUCAUAUAUUACACAUACACAUAAUGAAAUCACACAAUAUUCCUUAUUAUGACAUUUAUCUUCAAUUCAAGAAAUCUUUCAAUAUGAGACUAUCACAAGCCUCAACUCAUCUAUAACACCAUUGCUUGUUUUCCAUGCUUAGAUGAGCUAUAUAUGCCAUAUAUCACACUUGUUCUUUACCCCAUAUGAGCCUUUUAAUACAAUCUUUCCCACAAAGAACAUUCAUUAAUAACUUUACACCUGCUCAUAUGCUUACUAAGUUUAUUAGACCUUUAAUCUAGUUGUCAU